rnacentral:lncRNA from 1 species
AUUAUAAUAUUUUCUUUUAAAAAUGUUAAUAAUAAAAGUUAAAAUUAUAUAUUUGCCUUUUAGGGCAAUUAUUAGUUUAUUCAACAGUCUUACUGAAUGUUGGCUGGGGGCCAGGCAAUAUUUCAGGUGCUGGGGAUAGAACAGUGAACAAAACAGACAAAAGUCCCUAGCUUCAUGGAGCUUAUAUUCUAGUAGGAGAUGGUGAAAAUUAAGUUAAAGAUGUAAUAUAUUAUGUAGUAUAUGAGAAAGUGAUAAAUUCUAGGAAAAUAACAACAGCAGAAAUGGGAGAUAAGGAAUUCUGGAGAGUAGAAUUUGUAACAUAAUUAAUGCUAUAAUUUUAUUUUUGUCUAAAUAGUAUGAAUUUGCAUUUUUUGCUUCUCCUUUGCCAAUAUUUAUUGAAAAGAAUGCUUUACAUUUUCUAAAUGGAUUUUAAAACUCUUAUGAUUUAUUUCUAGCUUCGUUGAAUUGUGGUUGGAGGAUGUGGCCUGUGCAGAUUUUGCGUUGGUGUAUUUAUUAGUGUUUUCUUUGUGGCGGGGCUGUGUCAGUUUGCGUUGUUCUCAGUGCAAGUGCCUGAAAACCCAGCUGAGGGGCUUGAAUGACUAAGGGGCUGAUUUGUGCCCUACGACAAGUCCACAGGAGAAAGCCCAGGACCGCCUUGAAGGAAGCAGGCUCUUUCUGUUUUCCUGCUCUGCCAACUUAUGGAGAUGGUGCUGCUGCAUCUUGGGCAUCCUGUGUAUGGUCCAAGCAGGAAGGAAGAGGAACAGGGAGAGGAGGCACAUGUAGAUUUGUGUUUCUGUCUCUUUGGCAAGAACUGAACCAUAUGGGCACUGCCAGCCACAAGACAGCCUAGCUGGGCUUGUUUUCAGUUUUCUAAUCUCUAGCUUAGAGCAUAAAGUUUAUAAUGAUUGUUAGAUAGGCCAACCUAAUGAAUCUAGUACAAUAUCAAUUUUCAUAUAUGUAACAAA